rnacentral:rRNA from 1 species
GACGGAGGGUCCUAGCGUUGUUCGGAAUUACUGGGCGUAGAGCGCGUGUAGGCGGCCUUGCAAGUCGGAUGUGAAAGCCCUGGGCUCAACCCAGGAAGUGCACUCGAAACUGCAAGGCUUGAGUUCCGGAGAGGAAAGCGGAAUUCUCGGUGUAGAGGUGAAAUUCGUAGAUAUCGAGAGGAACACCGGUGGCGAAGGCGGCGAUCUGGGUGGAUACUGACGCUGAGGUGCGAAAGCGUGGGGAGCAAACAGG